CACUCCUACGGGAGGCAGCAGUGGGGAAUUUUGGACAAUGGGCGAAAGCCUGAUCCAGCAAUGCCGCGUGAGUGAAGAAGGCCUUCAGGCUGUAAAGCUCUUUUGUCAGGGAAGAAACGGUGAAAGCUAAUAUCUUUUGCUAAUGACGGUACCUGAAGAAUAAGCACCGGCUAACUACGUGCCAGCAGCCGCGGUAAUACGUAGGGUGCAAGCGUUAAUCGGAAUUACUGGGCGUAAAGCGUGCGCAGGCGGUUUUGUAAGUCUGAUGUGAAAUCCCCGGGCUCAACCUGGGAAUUGCAUUGGAGACUGCAAGGCUAGAAUCUGGCAGAGGGGGGUAGAAUUCCACGUGUAGCAGUGAAAUGCGUAGAUAUGUGGAGGAACACCGAUGGCGAAGGCAGCCCCCUGGGUCAAGAUUGACGCUCAUGCACGAAAGCGUGGGGAGCAAACAGGAUUAGAAACCCUGGUAGUCCCAU
rnacentral:rRNA from 1 species